ensembl:lncRNA
GGAAGAAUCAAGAUGGAACUCUUUUGAACUGCAAGAGGUAAAACAACCCUGAGAGUCCUGCCUUCAUUCUAUCCUCUGCAGUUUGCAAACAGAUUGCAAGCACCUUAUUACCAAAAUGGCAAGGGAUCUGCUCCUGAACUUUGCUGCAGUUCGCAUAAAGGACAGCCACAGAGUGACACUGGGAGGCCUCACUGUAUCUGGGGCUCCAAUUCAUGAGACAGCAGAAGAAAAUGUUAAGCAUGGAGACAGUUUUCCCCAUGACAUUUCUUCAGAUAGGUGUGGUUCUAAACACAGCGGCCUGAGCAGGCAUGAACAGAAUCAGUGCUUCUUAAAUUAUUGGGAAAAAUUGAAGGACAAGAAAUUUUGAGGAUAGAAAAAUAUAUGGCCAUGGACCAAGUCUUUGUGAAGGCCUUCAGCCAAGCCCACAUUUAUGGCAUGAUCCAGUAGUAUUAAGUAUGUCUUCAUUAUUUUCUCAUACUGUCACUUCUGCACAUAUGACAUGUAUGUCAUAGAAGUCACAGCACAUGGGAGGCUGAGGUGAUGUGGCCUGGAUAGUUCUCACUUGGAAUAGUCUGUGACUUUUCCUCACUCAUCUUUGGUUUCUCAAUAUCUUCUAGCAGAGGCCUCUCUGGGGCAACUGGUCAAAAGUUGGUACAUGAGGGGGUUUAUCUGGCAAGGUAAGGGACAUGGAACUUUGUGGGUUCCUGUUAGGAUGUUGUCCUGCAGCUCACCCUGUGUGUUUCCUAUGCAGAGGAGGUGCGCUGCUCUCUUAUCCCAGAGAGCUUCCUGCCCAGACUGCACUCAACAUUACCAUUGCAUGACUCCCUCAGGACAAGGUCUGGGGCCCGGAAGGGUUCAGGUUCACAAGGUACAGCUCUAGCCUUUGGGAAGAACAAAGUCAAACACUUGAUACUGCUGUCUGCAUAAGCAGCUGGUUUGGGCUUUGUUUGGGGGUUGGGGGUAGUAUUGAAUGCCACUGCGGUCUCUUCAGAUAGUUUCUGUUCCCUUUCCUCACACAGUUAGCAAGGUUCUUCUGCCAGGAUUAAUAUUCAGUUACUUUUCUUUAACAUGACCCUUGAAAAUCGGAUUCAGAUGCUGGAGAACAUCAAUAUCAAAACAAUGUAGUAAGAUGCUUCUCUGUGCCUUCCUCGACACUAUAUGCUUUUCAGGUCCCUGCAAAGCCAUGGUAGGAUAAUUUACAGAGUCAAGCCUUCACAGCUAUGCAGGAAAGCAGCAUGUACUGAAUGCCUAGGUUCUUCUUUCUGAAGAGAUUGGCCAUUAAUUGAGGUUGAGAAUUUUCCUUGACCUCUGAUGAGAUAUACAGGAAAAAUCCCAACAUAUGGAGGUGAAAUUGAGCCAAGAUAGGUACAUAAGAGUCAUUUCGUUUUACAGGGGGAAAAAACACAUCUCCCUGGACUAUAGGGACCAAACCCCAAUCCAAAGCACAAACAUAUCCACACGGUGUUUUCCUUUUUUUUUUUUCCACUUAUAAUUCCCUCAUGAAUGAUCCAUGAGAACAGGACCUGGAGAGGUGGAGAGUGUCCCGCUCACUACCUCAGCACAGUGCCUGUCUUGACUGUUGCCUUCAGAGCCUUUUUCUUCCUAGUGACAAAGAUCAGCACCUAUGUAGGAGAUUGAAUUAGGUUGGUCCCCCUAGGGUCAUGUGCUUCAAUACAAUUCCUAGUUGGGACAACAGUUUAGGAAGAAUUAGGCAGUAUAGUCUGGGGAAGAGCAGUGUCCCUGGGGCUG